AAUAAUUUAAUAAUAAGGGCUUUAAGCGCAAAUGCAAAAUCUUUCAGUCUAAGUUCGAGAAAGAUUUCAGACUUGCCUAAAUCAGUUGCACGCCUAAAGUGCAUUUUGGCACUGCAUUUAAACAACAACCUCCUUUCAGAUUUACCAACAGAGCUGCAGUCACUACAGCAGCUGACAGAGCUAAAUUUGGGAAAUAACAUUCUUCUGGAGAUUCCAGUGGUUCUGAAUCACCUGCACGCGUUAAGAAAACUGUAUUUGUUCGGAAACAAGAUCGAAAGUUUACCGCCAGAUAUUUUCGAAGAACUACCUAACCUUACACUUCUCAAUGUGAACCAUAAUAAAAUCAAAGUAAUACCUCCACAGAUAAAAAGCCUUGAGAAUCUGGAGGUUUUCAGUAUCAAGGAUAACUUGCUAGAGUUUGUCCCUGCUGAGCUAGGCUGUCUUGUACAGCUAACUGAAAUCAAUUUGACCAACAAUAAAGUGUCCUCCCUGCCACCAGAGUUGACCAGACUGUCAAAUCUGAGGAAACUGUACUUGGCAAGAAAUAACCUGUAUGAACUGCCAGAGGGCAUAAGUGGCUGCAAAAGUCUUAGAAUACUGGAUGUUGCUGGAAACUUUCUGACCGUGUUUCCCACUGAUUUUGGUUUCCUUGCCCUAGAGGAGCUGCUCUGUGAGGGCAAUAGCCUUGUCCAUGCAGACUUAAUGAAGUCCGUUCAGGAGAUAGAGGUUUUGACAUUAAAGGAGCUGGCCGCACGGGAGGUGCUGAUGGAGAAGAGGAACGAGUGGUCGGUGGUUCACCGGACACUACCCCUCUACCCUGAGCUGGUCAGCAUGCUGUCUCAGUGGGGGUGGUGUGCCGUCUGCCACAAGCCUUUCCUCACCACCUGGUUGGAGUGUGUCCAGUUUGUCAACCUCAAAAAAGACAUGGGCAUGAAAAGGAACCUGACAGUGCCGGUUCGAGCGGUUUUGUGUUCCUACACCUGCUUCAAUGAGAAAGGUCACUCAUACUAUGGAAUUGCAUCAACAUCUUAAAGUGAAUUAAAAUCCUAUUUCAUUUGUUCAGAUCUGCUUGGGAUAUUUCUGCUGGUAGAUUUAAAUAUCGUGGGAUAGAAUUGUCUUGUGUAAAAUCUGUCAGGCAACCGUCACAUUCAGAGUACCUUUAAUGUCCAGCAGAUGGCAGCAUGGGAUCACUGACACUGGGCCAUACACACACUGACAUGAUGCGCAUGUUGCAUGUUGUUGCUCAGUGUGGAUUCAGUGGAAGUUCACAAUUGUGCCUCAUAUAAGUAAGACUUUUGCCCAUAAAAGGAAGGAUCUCUUCUGAAAAGCAUCUCAACCCAGCUUGUCUUUAAGCUAAGUUAUUUUUUUUUUAGUAAAAACAACAACAACAACAACGAAAAAACCUCUAUCACACCAGAACAAAACACCAUAUGUUACCUGUCUGUCAGUUUCUAAGAUACCAGCCCCUUCCAUCUUAAAUGAGUCCACCCCAGAUUUAUUCCUCCCGUUUGCCUUCUUUAGAUGCCCCUCACAGUCCUGGCGGUAGAUUGUGUUUAACAAUAUAUUCCCCGCCACCUGUGUGCCACCACCACAAUCGCACCUCGUUUCAGCCCACAGCACAAAAGCGCACUUUGU